UACGGAGGGUGCAAGCGUUGUCCGGAUUUAUUGGGUUUAAAGGGUACGUAGGCGGAUGUUUAAGUCAGAGGUGAAAGCCUGCAGCUCAACUGUGGAAUUGCCUUUGAUACUGAAUAUCUUGAGUGCAGUAGAGGUGGGCAGAAUUCAUGGUGUAGCGGUGAAAUGCAUAGAUACCAUGAGGAAUACCGAUAGGGAAGCCAGCUCACUGGACUGUAACUGACGCUAAGGUACGAAAGCGUGGGGAGCGAAC
rnacentral:rRNA from 1 species